ACGUAGGUGGCAAGCGUUGUUCGGAAUUACUGGGCGUAAAGCGCGCGCAGGCGGGAUCUUAAGUCCAUUUUGAAAUCUCGGAGCUCAACUCCGUGCUGGCAUGGAAACUGGCUUUCUUGAGUAUCGGAGAGGAAAGCGGAAUUCCCCGUGUAGCGGUGAAAUGCGUAGAUAUGAGGAGGAACACCAGUGGCGAAGGCGGCUUUCUGGACGAUGUCUGACACUGAGGCGCGAAAGCCAGGGGAGCAAACGG
rnacentral:rRNA from 1 species